CUGGCUGGCCGGACACGCAACACCGCGCUCAGCGCUUACCCUAAGACAUAGUAGUGUGUGUCAUUUAUUGUUGUGAGUGGUAUGUACGUUAAUUACCAUUACUGUUCACCAACAGCCUUUUGCAGUCCGGUGGUCGUUGCGUCCUUUUGGCUCACCGAAUCCGCUUGCCCAACGCUCUACGAUACGCUAUGUCUUCAAAACCACUACCGAUGGAUGACCCUGCUGCAGAAACGAUCACUUUAGGAUGCUGUGGGAAGGACGUCACCGGAAGAUCGCCAUAAGCCUGCAGAUCAGGAUGUCUGUCAGACCAGGUAUUAAGCCGCCCCAGGACGCCCUGCCGGGACGCCCGUAGAUCCGGCAGAGGACCAGGAACUCGCCAGGCAGGUACCAGUUGCUCCAGGAUGCUGUGGAAGAGCGCCGUCUGCCUGAACGCCUGCAGAUUCAGUCAAACUCCAGAAGCUCGUCAGUGUAGGUAUCAGCCACCCUGAGAUGCCAAAGAGGAGGCCGUAGAUCCAGACGAAGAUUACGAGGACGUCUGGACGAGCACGCAGCCGAGGAGGACCUGAACGAGAUCUGCGAGGACGUGUGAACCAGUACGCCACCGAGUUAGACCCGGAUGAGGACCACGAGGAAGUCUAGACGAGUCCGAAGUCAUGGAGGACCUAUGCGAGACCUUCCAGGACGUGUGGACGUCGGGGAUGGAGGGAUUACACUAAGCACCAGGAAGAAGAGGACAAGGACGAGCAGCAAGGCAGAUGGACCAAGGACAACACACACGAGAACGAGAUGACCAGCAAAUCAGGACCAGCCAAAGUUGGAUUACCCUUGAGGCCAAUCUAAGGCACCUCGAGAGCGAGACGUUAAUAGGUGGCCGAGCAAUAUGGUAGGUCAUUAAACAGACGGAAACAGUGACGUCGCCUCACUCCCCCCACAUUUCCUGCAGCUGAUGUAACACGCCACGUUUUCGGUGGACGCUCAUUGCUGGUUCCGAAGGAUGACCCAGUCUUCAGUCAGUUCGCUCCCAGAAGUCAUCCUAACAAGGCCCCACGACACUGCGAUCAGCUCUUACCCUAAGACGUCUCGUCUGUUCUUUACUGUGUUGUACUCUUCCGUAAUAAAGAGUCAAGCCGUUA